rnacentral:rRNA from 1 species
UACGAGGGGGGCAAGCGUUGUUCGGAAUUAUUGGGCGUAAAGGGUGCGUAGGCGGUGCGGUAAGUCUGUUGUGAAAUCUCCGGGCUCAACUCGGAGUCUGCAUCAGAAACUGCCGUGCUGGAGUGUGGGAGAGGUGAGUGGAAUUCCCAGUGUAGAGGUGAAAUUCGUAGAUAUUGGGAAGAACACCGGUGGCGAAGGCGGCUCACUGGCUCGUAACUGACGCUCAUGCACGACAGCGUGGGGAUCAAACAGG